CCUACGGGAGGCAGCAGUGAGGAAUAUUGGUCAAUGGAGGCAACUCUGAACCAGCCAUCCCGCGUGCAGGAUGACGGCCCUAUGGGUUGUAAACUGCUUUUCUACGCCAAGAACUGUCGCUACGCGUAGCGAUUUGACGGUAGCGUAGGAAUAAGCAUCGGCUAACUCCGUGCCAGCAGCCGCGGUAAU
rnacentral:rRNA from 1 species